GUAGACAGAUCAGUGUUACCGUCUUUCCACUAAACAAAGCGGUAUUUGAAUCUGAACUUAUGAUCAAAUGUAGCUUAAAUGACACUUUGCCACAUUUUAGCUGCACACUAAAGCUCUAAAUACAUUUUCGUUGGCUUUGGGAAGGCGCUUCCUCGUAUUAUUUAUAUUUCAGUUUAUUAUGCAAUAUAUUUCCAACUUAUACGACCACAUGAGGAUCAUGCGCAUGCGACAAGUUUGCUCCACAUUUUGACUCUGCGCCGCCGUGCUUCACCCUCGCCCCUCGCCUCGUCACGAAGGAGUCAUCGCCAUUAGCAUCAUCGGAAUGUCGUUGGAACCGUUGCAAGACGUUUGAACGGUCUCCGCGCUCGCUCGUCCAUUUGUGAACAAAGGAGGCCGUGAUUUUGCGUCGUAUGGGCGGCUGCAGUGUUGCGUCCCGUCAGGCCAUGAAAGAAGGAAGGAGGAUAUGAUUUUGCGUCGUAAUGGGUUUUUGUUGUUUGUUCGGAGCAGCGGCUGCAGUGUUGCGUCCCGUCAGGCUCUACUUUGUUGAACACUAAGCUGGACACAUAUCUCUCCAGCGCUUCAGAGACGUCGCUGGCGCCGAAAUUCUAGCUGUUUCACCGUGGGUCGCCAGAAGAACAGCAGAUCAUUGACUCUAUUGUGCGACGCGACACUAUGUGGCACGAAGGAUGUGUACGUGUGAAAUACGUAACUACUGUGUGCGCGGGAUGUUUUGUAUGAUUGUGUCGACACUGGAUACCACUUUCAAGGUAUGCAUUUUCGGAAUAAAGUAGAUACAUAUAUAAUUUUGCAGUACUUCAUUUCGUGUAUUUUCUGCGUGUUGCGAGUAAGUGAACAUAUGCACUCUUAAAAAUGAACUUCACCGCAUAGCAUGCUCCUAGCCGACCAUCAACUCGAAUGAUAUCGCUAUGUGACCUGAUUUGUUCAAAACGGUAGGCGCACGGCUUUUUUGUGAUACUUACGCUGUUCAUAAUUGUCACAAAAAUGGCGUACACCUCCCGUUUUCAGGCAGAUAACGAUAUUCGAGAUGAUGAUUGGCCAGGAGUGUGCUAUGCGGUGAAGUUCAUUUCUAAGAGAGUGGAGUCACAGGAAGUCUACAAAAAGUCUUCACAUCAUACGCGGGAUGGUGUUACCAGAAUUAUGUUGACAGUACACAGAAAGAGAACAAAAAAUUCCACAGCUAUUCUGUAGCCAAAUGUCUACAGAAAGUUGAGGGCCAUAAGUCAACAAGAAGUAAACAUAUGAUGUAAACAUGAAAGCAACACAAACUCUGAAGAAUGUUUGUUUUCCAUGUUGACCUUGGUCUGUAGAAAGUAAACAGAAACUAAACACCCAUUUUCAU